rnacentral:ncRNA from 1 species
GAGCCUGCGGCUUAAUUUGACUCAACACGGAAAUUACCAGGUCCAGACAUAGUAAGGAUUGACAGACUGAGAGCUCUUUCGAGAUUCAUGGGUGGUGGUGCAUGGCCGUUCUUAGUUGGUGAUUUGUCUGGUUAAUUCCGUUAACGAACGAGACAGCUAACUAGCUAUGCUAGCCAGCUUCUUAGAGGGACUAUUAGUUUGUCCUUAGAAGCUGAUGUAUUGCUAGCUUCUCGCGGGAUGGUUGAAGAUUAGCGAAAAUUCUUUAUGGCAAGUGAAUACCAUGGUAUGAUGUGAGUUAGUUGAUGAUACAUCCGUGCUUCACCCGGGCCUGUCGGCCAAGGCUA